rnacentral:misc_RNA from 1 species
UCCCCGUUUAGACGAGGCAGUCUGUCCAGAGUGCUCCGGACUCUCAUCCGGAUUGCAACAGGACACAAGGGUUGCGCUCGUUGCGGGACUUAACCCAACAUCUCACGACACGAGCUGACGACAGCCAUGCAGCACCUGUGCAAGCUCCCCUUGCGGGGUCGUUACCCUUUCAGGCUCCUACCACUUGCAUGUCAAGGCCAGGUAAGGUUCUUCGCGUUGCAUCGAAUUGAGCCACAUACUCCACCGCUUGUGCAGGCCCCCGUCAAUUUCUUUGAGUUUUAAUCUUGCGACCGUACUCCCCAGGCGGCACAUUUAACGCGUUAGCUUCGCCACGAAAGGGGUCGAAUCCUCUCACAGCAAAUGUGCACCGUUUACGGCUAGGACUAC